rnacentral:rRNA from 1 species
UACGUAGGGGGCUAGCGUUGUUCGGAAUUACUGGGCGUAAAGCGAGUGUAGGCGGUCCGAAAAGUCGGGUGUGAAAGCCCUGGGCUCAACCCAGGAAGUGCACUCGAAACUGCCGGGCUAGAGUACUGGAGAGGUUGGUGGAAUUCUCGGUGUAGAGGUGAAAUUCGUAGAUAUCGAGAGGAACACCGGUGGCGAAGGCGGCCAACUGGACAGAUACUGACGCUGAGACUCGAAAGCGUGGGGAGCAAACAGG